rnacentral:rRNA from 1 species
UACGUAGGGUGCGAGCGUUAAUCGGAAUUACUGGGCGUAAAGCGUGCGUAGGCGGUUCGCAAAGUCUGAUGUGAAAGCCCCGGGCUCAACCUGGGAACUGCAUUGGAAACUAACGGGCUCGAGUGUGGCAGGGGGGGGUGGAAUUCCACGUGUAGCAGUGAAAUGCGUAGAGAUGUGGAGGAACACCGAUGGCGAAGGCAGCCUCCUGGGCCAGCACUGACGCUCAUGCACGAAAGCGUGGGGAGCAAACAGG